GACGAACGCUGGCGGCGUGCUUAACACAUGCAAGUCGAACGCUGAAGCCCUUUCGGGGGUGGAUGAGUGGCGAACGGGUGAGUAACACGUGGGUAAUCUGCCCUGCACUCUGGGGUAAGCCUUGGAAACGGGGUCUAAUACCGGAUAGGACACAUCGCCGCAUGGUGUGUGUGUGGAAAGUUCCGGCGGUGCAGGUUGAGCCCGCGGCCGAUCAGCUUGUUGGUGGGGUGAUGGCCUACCAAGGCGACGACGGGUAGCCGGCCUGAGAGGGUGACCGGCCACACUGGGACUGAGACACGGCCCAGACUCCUACGGGAGGCAGCAGUGGGGAAUCUUGCGCAAUGGGCGAAAGCCUGACGCAGCAACGCCGCGUGGGGGAUGACGGCCUUCGGGUUGUAAACCUCUUUCGACCGGGACGAAGGGUGACUGACGGUACCGGUAGAAGGAGCACCGGCUAACUACGUGCCAGCAGCCGCCGUAA
rnacentral:rRNA from 1 species